AAUACAUGUACCUCAAUAAUUUUAUCAAGGGCAUGUUUUGUGCUAGAUACUACUCUUUAUGUUAGGAAUAUAAGCAAUUGUAUAAGAUACUUACAGAUUGCAGUAAGUGGUAAAAAAUAUAACAUGAAGAGGGAAUAGUGAUGAGAAGGUAACUAUAUAGGGGAGUGGUCAGGGAGUGCUUCACUGAAGAUGUAAAAUAUGAACUGAAACCUAUAUCCUGAUUUAAAAUAGCUUUGCAGAUGUUUUAGGUAAAUAGCAGCAAGCGAACAAUACCAAAGUUUUUAUUUUUGUAAUUUGAAAUCAAUGUGCAAGCCAGAGCUUCUUUAGGAAAGACCAUUCCUGAGAGAACAACAGGAAGAAAUAUGAAUGUUAAACAUGUGGUGCCGUGUGGAAGCAAAGCUCCAUAAUUAAUCUAUAGAGCCAUCACCACUGUCAAAAGCAGAAAGGCCCCAGAGGAAAUAAUUUUUGUAUAGAAUGAUGGCAGCAUUAGUGACAGCAGUAAUGAUAAGACACUGAAAAAGGGAAUCAGAGCUAUUUCCAUGAAUUAAUGUCUUAAUCCCCACAACAAUGAGGUCGUGGUCAUCUAGUUGUAGAAUGACUCCUGCCUGCUACAUUUCCCCAGAUACCCAGGACCUUCAUGCUGUCACUCUCCAUGACCUGACCAACAUCUAUUUUGAGAAAUUAUUUUAUAUACUCAUUCAAACAGUCAUCUUUUGUGUCCAGAGUUGGUUCCUUCUGGUGGGUUCGUGGUCUCGCUAACUUCAAGAAUGGAGCCACGGACCUUCGCGAUUUACAUACAAAUGAACCACCAAUGUCCCCUUCUAUCAACUCAGAAUAAAAUCUGGUUUUAGCAUAUGCAGUCCUACGAGACAUGGUUAAAGGAUAUGAAUGAUAGAUAGAGAUAAAAGAAAUCAAGGACCAUUCCUCCACAAGUCUCCAAAGAGGAAAACAACAAUCGAAGAAAAAAGAGUGAGAGAACA
rnacentral:lncRNA from 1 species